rnacentral:rRNA from 1 species
UCAUGCCUACGGGGCGCAGCAGUGGGGAAUAUUGCACAAUGGGCGAAAGCCUGAUGCAGCAACGCCGCGUGAAGGAAGACGGUUUUCGGAUUGUAAACUUCUGUUCUUAGUGAAGAAUAAUGACGGUAACUAAGGAGCAAGCCACGGCUAACUACGUGCCAGCAGCCGCGGCAAUACGUAGGUGGCAAGCGUUGUCCGGAAUUACUGGGUGUAAAGGGAGCGUAGGCGGGAAGCCAAGUCAGCUGUGAAAACUACGGGCUUAACUUGUAGACUGCAGUU